GAUGAACGCUGGCGGCGUGCCUAAUACAUGCAAGUCGAGCGAACAGACGAGGAGCUUGCUCCUCUGACGUUAGCGGCGGACGGGUGAGUAACACGUGGAUAACCUACCUAUAAGACUGGGAUAACUUCGGGAAACCGGAGCUAAUACCGGAUAAUAUAUUGAACCGCAUGGUUCAAUAGUGAAAGACGGUUUUGCUGUCACUUAUAGAUGGAUCCGCGCCGCAUUAGCUAGUUGGUAAGGUAACGGCUUACCAAGGCAACGAUGCGUAGCCGACCUGAGAGGGUAAUCGCCACACUGGAACUGAGACACGGUCCAGACUCCUACGGGAGGCAGCAGUAGGGAAUCUUCCGCAAUGGGCGAAAGCCUGACGGAGCAACGCCGCGUGAGUGAUGAAGGUCUUCGGAUCGUAAAACUCUGUUAUUAGGGAAGAACAAAUGUGUAAGUAACUAUGCACGUCUUGACGGUACCUAAUCAGAAAGCCACGGCUAACUACGUG
rnacentral:rRNA from 1 species